rnacentral:rRNA from 1 species
CCUACGGGUGGCAGCAGUGAGGAAUAUUGGUCAAUGGGCUAAGGCCUGAACCAGCCAAGUCGCGUGAGGGAAGACGGUCCUAUGGAUUGUAAACUUCUUUUGUCGGGGAGCAACGAGGCCCCGUGUGGCCGAAGUGAGAGUACCCGAAGAACAAGCAUCGGCAAACUCCGCGCCAGCAGCGGCGGUAAUACGGAGGAUGCGAGUGUUAUCCGGAUUUAUUGGGUUUAAAGGGUGCGAAGGGGGAAAAUUAAGUCAGCGGUAAAAUCGAGGGGCUAAACCACUUUAAGCCGUUGAAACUGGUUAUCUUGAGUGGGCGAGAGGUAGGCGGAAUGCGUGGUGUAGCGGUGAAAUGCAUAGAUAUCACGAAGAACUCCGAUUGCGAAGGCAGCAUACCGGCGCCCGACUGACGCUGAGGCACGAAAGCGUGGGGAUCGAACAGGAUUAGAUACCCUGGUAGUC